rnacentral:snRNA from 1 species
AGCUUUGCGCAGUGGCAGUAUCGUAGCCAGUGAGGUUUAUCCGAGGCGCAAUUAUUGCUAAUUGAACUUUUACAUGGGUAACCCUGUUAAUGCAGUCAUCAGUCAAGCAUUCUGACUGCCCAGCUUGGA